rnacentral:rRNA from 1 species
CGUACACUCCUGCGGGAGGCAGCAGUGGGGAAUAUUGCACAAUGGGCGCAAGCCUGAUGCAGCCAUGCCGCGUGUAUGAAGAAGGCCUUCGGGUUGUAAAGUACUUUCAGCGGGGAGGAAGGUGUUGAGGUUAAUAACCUCAGCAAUUGACGUUACCCGCAGAAGAAGCACCGGCUAACUCCGUGCCAGCAGCCGCGGUAAUACGGAGGGUGCAAGCGUUAAUCGGAAUUACUGGGCGUAAAGCGCACGCAGGCGGUCUGUCAAGUCGGAUGUGAAAUCCCCGGGCUCAACCUGGGAACUGCAUUCGAAACUGGCAGGCUAGAGUCUUGUAGAGGGGGGUAGAAUUCCAGGUGUAGCGGUGAAAUGCGUAGAGAUCUGGAGGAAUACCGGUGGCGAAGGCGGCCCCCUGGACAAAGACUGACGCUCAGGUGCGAAAGCGUGGGGAGCAAACAGGAUUAGAAACCCCGGUAGUCCCAUG